AAGAAGAAGAGAGUGUAAAUGUUUAUAUAAUAUCUAGAUGUUAUGUGUAUACACAUGUGUGUGUAUUGUGUAUAUUGGUUUUUUUUUUUUUGGUUUUUGUAAUGUAGAGGAGGAGGUUUCCAGAAUUAUUGUCGCUACGUAUAGAGAGAGAAAGUGUUGGUUGGGUCGUGGGAGAGAGAGAGAGAGAGAGAGAGAGAGAGAGAGAGAGAGAAUGUCUUUAUUGAGAAAAUGAAAUGUUCCCAAAAAGAUCAAAUCUUUUCUCCAUUGGCC
rnacentral:lncRNA from 1 species